rnacentral:rRNA from 1 species
GGUACCGUCAAUUAAUAUAUCUAUUUGAUAUACUACCUUUCGUCCCUCCUAACAGAGGUUUACAAUCCGAAGACCUUCUUCCCUCACGCGGCGUUGCUGCGUCAACCUUUCGGCCAUUGCGCAAUAUUCCUCA